CCUCCGACUCUGACUCUUCUUCGGGGGACUCUGACGCUAGCGAAGUGCGCAUCGACUCUCGAUCUGGGAAAAAAAUCAAGAUGAAGGUCGAUAAAGACGCAACAGAUGUUGCUAUGGAGCUCG
rnacentral:ribozyme from 1 species